CUGGACAGAUAAACAGCCGACGUGAAGAUUAAGAACUGUCUGCUUUCGGGGUACAAAAGAGACCGGUUUCAAAAGUUAUGUUAUGUUAGAUAUCAAAGUUUGAAGACGAUAAUGUCUGAGUUGGAGACUAAAUAGACGCACGUUUUCAGGGGGAAGCAGAUCCGGGGUGAUGGCGGUGAGCAAGAUUGGUGUUGUUCCAAGUAAACCACGG
rnacentral:lncRNA from 1 species